UAAAUACAUGCAAAAAGAGAGAGAGUAAAGAAGAAUUUUUCCAUGUCCUAGGGAUCGCCUUGCUCAGCUCAGGGAGGAAACCCCGCCUGAAAAGGCUGAAGCUUAAACUGUUACUCUUCACUGGGUGCAGAGUCUGAUCACAUCUUCUGUCACUCAGGGCUUGAGGGGGCGGAGACUUAAACAUUAUCCAAUCAGGGACGUUGGGCUGGGAACCGUCCAAUCAGGAACGUAGCUGGAGCAAAGAGGACGGCUUUCGGAUUUGGCGCGGCCUUAGUUUGUUGCUGCAGCCGCAGCUUCAGGUUAUGUCUUCUCUGCUCUGUGUCCUCUGCUCCUAGAGGCCCGGCCUCGCGGCCUGUGACGUUUAGGUAUUGGGAGAGCCACAGCUAGGACGCCGGGACCCCCUGGAAGCCUAGAAAUGGGACCGUUGCAAUUUAGAGACGUGGCCGUAGAAUUCUCCCUGGAGGAGUGGCAUUGCUUGGACGCUGCACAGCAGAAUCUGUAUAGGGAUGUGAUGUUGGAGAACUACGGAAACCUGGUCUUCCUGGGUAUUCUUGUCUCUGAGCCAGACCUGAUCACCUGUCUGGAGAAAGGAAAAAACCUUUGACUGUGAAGAGACAUGAGAUGAUUGCCACACCCCUAGAUUUUUAUAUUAUCUGCUCCUGAAACAAACAAAUCUUUUUUUGUUUUGAGACGAAGAAUUGCUUGAACAUGGGAGGCAGAGGUUGCAAUGAGCCAAGAACACACCACUACACUCCAGCCUGGGCAACAGUGCAAGACUCAGCAGUGAGCUGAGAUCGCACCACUGCACUCCAGCCUGGCGCCUGGCAAAGGAGUGAGACUCUGUCUCAAAACAAAACAAUCAAGAUGGUAGGGUUGGGUGACGGGCUUGUCCGGGAAGCUCCGAUGCCCGAUUAGGGACAAUGGGGAACGCAGGCGGGGAGUGGGAGAUAUCAACCCAGGCAGUCAGGACUUCAGACUUUCGGGAUCCAGGCUUGCAUAUGGAGACCUGACAGUAGUCCUCUAAAAUAAAAUAUGAACCACAUGUGAAUUUUGAAUUUUCUAGUAGUCAAACUUUAAAAAGAAAUGAGUGGUCGGGUGUGGUGGCUCACGCAGUCAGGAGUUUGAGACCAGCCUGGCUAACAUGGUGAAACCUCAUCUCUACUAAAAAUACAAAAAUUAGCUGGACGUGGUGGUGAGCGCCUGUAAUCCCAACUACUCAGGGGGCUGAGGCAGAGGAAUCGCUUAAACCUGGGAGGUAGAGGUUGCAAUGAGCCAAGAACACACCACUAUACUCUAGCCUGGGCAACAAUGCAAGACUGUCUCAAAAAAAUAAAGAUUGUAAACCAUGUAUGUUAAUCUAGAGUGGUCAAAAUCGACAAAUUGGGUAGAUUUAUUUAUACAGUUUUAUUAGAAUUAGCUUUGUAUAUAUAAUACACUAAUACAAAAGUAAAAGUUGAUUUUCUUUGGAACAAAAAUUUUAUGUAUUAUAAAAAAAUACAAAAAUUAGCCAGGCAUAAUUGUUCAUGCCUGUAGUCCCAAGCUACUUGGGAGGCUGAGGCUGGAGAAUAGCUUGAUCCCAGGAGGCCAAGGUUGCAGUGAGCCAAGAUCACGCCAAUGCAUUCUAACCUGGGUGACAAAGCAAGACUCCAUCUCAAAAAAAAGAAAAAAGGGUUAUGACACCUAGCUAGUUCUUAUUGUUUGUUUUUUAUUUUUUUUAGUUUAUAUUUUAGGAACAGGGUUUUGCCAUGUUGUCCAGUCUGGUCUCAAACUCCUGAGUUAAAGUGUUCAGCUCCCCUUGUCCU